AAGCCAUGAUGUGGAACAUCAAUCAACAAAUCUUUAAAUCUCUCCCAUGCCGCGUGCAACGACUCUCCCUCGUCCUGACGAAAGGAAACAAUCCGAUUACGAAGCUU
rfam:Helianthus annuus linkage group 6, whole genome shotgun sequence.